CCCCUCUCAGGGUCGCAUCUGGAGAGUUUCCAGCACUCUACCAGACUCGACUAUGGGAGGGAGAGUUUAUCAGAGGCAUAUUCAUUCCAUUCCUAGCUUGAGCAGUGGCUAGCGAGUGGAAGGCAAUCUGCUAUAAAU